GAGCUUGAAUUUCAUAACAGGAACGCGCGCAUCAGGAACAGGAUGAAGUUCUUGUAUUUCAGGCAUCUCUUCAAGCAUUCUAUGAAGUUCACCAAAGAAGUCCUCACGCAUCGCAUGUCUAGGUCCUACACAUAGUGUGUCUAUAUCAGCACCAGGACCAUGUACACCAAGCCGAUAUGAGCCAAAUGUGAAGAUUUUUGCAUUUGCCUCAUGCACCAGAUCAUCAUUGAAGCCUUUAGCACGACAGACAUUUUUCACCCACGUCUUCACAAUCUGGUCUAAUCUUCCUAGCACUUCUUCCCUUUUAAUGGCCUCUUCAUGACUUUCAUAUAAGCCUGCAUCUGCAAGAAACUUUUCCAGUUCCCGGUUUCUAACAACAUCCAAUUCAGAGGGUCCACCAGUUGAAAUUGGCUCAGAUAUUCCAUAUCCAGUGUUACUCAUC
rnacentral:misc_RNA from 1 species